CUAUACUGCAAGUCGAGCGGACAGAAGGGAGCUUGCUCCCGGAUGUUAGCGGCGGACGGGUGAGUAACACGUGGGUAACCUGCCUGUAAGACUGGGAUAACUCCGGGAAACCGGAGCUAAUACCGGAUAGUUCCUUGAACCGCAUGGUUCAAGGAUGAAAGACGGUUUCGGCUGUCACUUACAGAUGGACCCGCGGCGCAUUAGCUAGUUGGUGGGGUAAUGGCUCACCAAGGCGACGAUGCGUAGCCGACCUGAGAGGGUGAUCGGCCACACUGGGACUGAGACACGGCCCAGACUCCUACGGGAGGCAGCAGUAGGGAAUCUUCCGCAAUGGACGAAAGUCUGACGGAGCAACGCCGCGUGAGUGAUGAAGGUUUUCGGAUCGUAAAGCUCUGUUGUUAGGGAAGAACAAGUGCGAGAGUAACUGCUCGCACCUUGACGGUACCUAACCAGAAAGCCACGGCUAACUACGUGCCAGCAGCCGCGGUAAUACGUAGGUGGCAAGCGUUGUCCGGAAUUAUUGGGCGUAAAGGGCUCGCAGGCGGUUUCUUAAGUCUGAUGUGAAAGCCCCCGGCUCAACCGGGGAGGGUCAUUGGAAACUGGGAAACUUGAGUGCAGAAGAGGAGAGUGGAAUUCCACGUGUAGCGGUGAAAUGCGUAGAGAUGUGGAGGAACACCAGUGGGCGAAGGCGACUCUCUGGUCUGUUACUGACGCUGA
rnacentral:rRNA from 1 species